ensembl:lncRNA
UGAAAGAGGAAAAAUGGAAACUUUAUUUUCUAAUCUCCAUGAUUGGCAAAAGCCAAACAGGAAAACCAGCAGCAGUAAUCAUCCUGGAAAUUCACAAAAUGCAACUGAACAACAGAGAAAUGUAAAUCUCUCUGCUAACACCUCUGAUACCACAAAGGAAAUCAGAACUUCAAGUAUGGAUUUGCUUCUAGUAAUAUGGUGGGCUAGAUUCUUUAACAAGACCUGGAUAAAUUAUAACAAACACAUUUUUUAAUUCACUGCUAAGCAUUCAAGAAAAUAAGGGCAUGUAAACAGCAACAGGGUGUUGAAACCAGAGCACUGAGUGAAUGUAAAAACCAGGGCUGCCCUUAAGGCAAAUGCUGAGAGGCAAUUGGGGAUGGAACACUUAGGCCCUUGGAAAGUUCUGGAGCUGAACUUGGACUACCACAUUAAGCCAGGAAACUCAAAGGGGGGCUACACGCUGGAAAAGUCUAUCUACCAGCAAAGGGAACCUUCCAAGAGUCCUGGCUCAGAUGUCUCCACAUAGAGUAUCCCUUGAAAAUUAUAGCUCUGAGCCUACUCUCCCAUGAGUCUCGCUCAAGUUGAAAUGGAUAACCUGUCUGGUCAGAGAAAACUCAAGCCAAGAUGGUAUAGGAGUUCCAGCUUUGCAGCACCUCCUGGGGUCCAGCAGAAGCAAAUACAAGGACACAAGGAGCAACACAUCCCUGACUUAGUUCCUGAGUGUUCCUUGAUCUUCAACCUUGAAGGUGUUCAUUAAAAAAAAAAAAAACAACAACAAAACAAAAACCAGAGAGAAAGAAACACGAGGAAGCAAGAAACCACAAAGGAGAGUCAACAGAUUUAGACUUCAGGGAACUUCAAAUAUUGGAAUUAUCCAACAUCAAUCUUGGAUAAUAAUUAUCAAUUAUCUCUUCAAAUAUUGGAGAGAAAAGAUAUACCUUAAGAUACUAAUUUUUCAAAGCUGAGAGAUGAAACAAAAAUGAGCAAGAAAAUUCAAAUUUAGAAGGAAAAUUUUCUGAAUAGAAUGAGAAGGGGAUGCCACGGGAGCCCCACAGACAUCUUGACACAAUUGGUAUUGUUCCAUUUCUUAGGUUGGGGGUAGGGUCACAGGUGUUUGGUUAUUAUUAGGCACCAUAACACACACUAAAUGUUAUGAAUAACUUUUGUUUCAAAUACUACAUAAAAAUACAAUUUAAAUACUUUUAAAAACAUUUAAGAACCUUUGGAAACAUAGACAUUUAAUUUUGUUUUCUCCUAAAGCUUCAGUAAAGUGAUAUUUAAAAUAUUUUUAAAGGUAUGAACCAAGCCACAAAAAUCAAGAGAAUAGGAGAGGUGACAACAAGAAUGUAGCUGAGGCUGUGGGGAGAUGCUCCCUGGAGUUCUCUAGAGUCUCCAUGCUGGCCCCUCCAUCGCACCUCCUCUCAGGUGGGAGUGCUUCUCCUCCAUCCGGCUGUUCCAGACCCACUUGCAGAUUCUGCUCCCAGACGUAAACCCCACAGGCUCUUAAUGCCAGGCUUCCUUUGUCCUGCCAGGCUAUCCUCUUGGGUAGCAUCUUUUUUAAAAAUGAUUCUACUCUGUGCUUCCAUGUCUACCACGGGUUUUGUAUUUAGACCCAAGGAUUCACGCCCAUUGUGGCCUGUCAGAGCAGACUGCAGUUAGACCUAACCACUGUCUCUUUCUCAGGCAAGUGUUCAUUGCCUCGGCUUGGCUCAUACAGGCAGAGGAUUAGAGGUUUAUUCUCUGGCAGGGUAAACAGAAGUUUCCUAAACACCAGGCACAGUUAAAAGCAACGUGACCACAAUACAAACAGGAGGAUUAAGCACCAUGCAUAUCAAGUAGAAAAGAUGGCAAGAAAUGGCACACCCAGGCAGACUGUAGCAUAGCUGCAAGACAGUAAAUCAAAAAAAGGACUUAAAAUCAGUCAGAGAGAAGAGAUGGAUUUCUGCAGUGAAUAACCAUUUGACUGACAGUAGGCUUCUUAACAACAAAAACGGAAGUGAGAGCAAAUGUCAAUCUAGAAAUAUGUGCCCAAUAAAACUACUUAAAAAUAAUGAUUUCAGACAAAUAAUUUUUAAGAACUUGCCACCUGUAAAAGCUUCGUAAAGAAAUUCUUAAAGGAUAUAUUGAUUAUGAAAAAUUGAAACAUGAUCUGGAACGAAGUUCUGAGAUUUAAAAAAAGGGAACAAAGAAGUUGGUAAAUGUGAAAAUAAUAUAAAUGUUGCAUGAAAAUAAUAUACUAAUGUGUAGGCUUCAAAAAGCGAUAAAUACUAUAUAAAAAUUACAUGUAAAUUGGGAGAGAAGCAGUCAGAAACAAAAUACUUUAAGGUUCUUGCAAUUUUAGUAGAGAAGGUUAAUAUGCUGAUUAACUUUAAAUUUUCAAUUAUGCAUAACUGAUUCAUUAAAAUCAGUUGGAACCAUGAGGGUUUAUCAUAAGAUGUGCAAUUUCCUCUUUUAUCCUGCUCAAUGGGUGAUCUUUGUUCUUGAAGGAAAAUUCUUGUAGUCUCCAAGACUUUUCUAGUCGCAUUUAGGUAAUAAAAAGUCAAACAAUCUUUAAGACAUAACUUAGUCUCACUUCAGUAGUAAGCAGUUUUCAUUCAAAUAUACUUAUAAACACUUUAGUCUGUAUGGCAAAUUGGGUUUUCUUUGCCCCUCCCCAGGCUAGAUCCAGUUGUAGGCUGACUGGCUUUUGGCUGUGAAUGAGGGGUACUAGGUUUUUUGUCUCUUUCCUUUUCGGAUGUUUUUUCUUUUCCAGAUUGCCAAUAGCUGCGACUGAAUGUUGAGUCCUGGAGUCCUUUGCCCUUUCUUGCCUCUCAGAAAACUAGCAGCCAGGCCUAUCCCUUCAGGCAGGACGUUAGAAGAAUCUUGUCUGGAGAAUCUGUUGAGAACAAGAGGAAAGACCUAAAGAUAUUCACAUUUUUGGGAUCACCCCCAGAAAAUGGUCCCUCCAGAUUACCCUCAGUAAAACACUUUGACUAGCACCAACCUCACACUAAACAUUUCCACUAGAUUUCGAGUGCCCACUCUUAAAUGAGAAGAAAUAACUAAGGAUCCCAACAUCUGGGAUAAUCAUUUUCAGAAAAGAUC